rnacentral:rRNA from 1 species
AAGCCUUAACGGAGCAAGACCGCGUGAGGGAGGAAGGCUCUUGGGUUGUAAACCUCUUUUCUCAGGGAAGAAGCUCUGACGGUACCUGAGGAAUCAGCCUCGGCUAACUCCGUGCCAGCAGCCGCGGUAAUACGGAGGAGGCAAGCGUUAUCCGGAAUGAUUGGGCGUAAAGCGUUCGUAGGUGGCAAUUCAAGUCUGCUGUCAAAGACAGUAGCUCAACUACUGCAAGGCAGUGGAAACUGAAUAGCUAGAGUGCGGUAGGGGCAGAGGGAAUUCCCGGUGUAGCGGUGAAAUGCGUAGAGAUCGGGAAGAACACCGGUGGCGAAAGCGCUCUGCUGGGCCGCAACUGACACUGAGGGACGAAAGCUAGGGGAGCGAAUGGGAUUAGAUACCCCAGUAGUC